rnacentral:rRNA from 1 species
AAUGAACGCUGGCGGCAUGCCUAACACAUGCAAGUCGAACGAAGGCUUCGGCCUUAGUGGCGCACGGGUGCGUAACGCGUGGGAAUCUGCCCUUGGGUUCGGAAUAACAGUUAGAAAUGACUGCUAAUACCGGAUGAUGUCGUAAGACCAAAGAUUUAUCGCCCAAGGAUGAGCCCGCGUAGGAUUAGCUAGUUGGCGGGGUAAAGGCCCACCAAGGCGACAAUCCUUAGCUGGUCUGAGAGGAUGAUCAGCCACACUGGGACUGAGACACGGCCCAGACUCCUACGGGAGGCAGCAGUGGGGAAUAUUGGACAAUGGGCGAAAGCCUGAUCCAGCAAUGCCGCGUGAGUGAUGAAGGCCUUAGGGUUGUAAAGCUCUUUUACCCGGGAUGAUAAUGACAGUACCGGGAGAAUAAGCUCCGGCUAACUUCGUGCCAGCAGCCGCAGUAA